CCUACGGGCGGCAGCAGUGGGGAAUAUUGCACAAUGGGGGAAACCCUGAUGCAGCGACGCCGCGUGAGUGAAGAAGUAUUUCGGUAUGUAAAGCUCUAUCAGCAGGGAAGAAAUAGCGACCUUUGGGUCGCCAGACGGUACCUGACUAAGAAGCCCCGGCUAACUACGUGCCGGAAGCCGCGGUAAUACGUAGGGGGCAAGCGUUAUACGGAUUUACUGGGUGUAAAGGGAGCGUAGACGGCAGCACAAGUCUGAAGUGAAAUGCCGGGGCUUAACCCCGGAACUGCUUUGGAAACUGUGCAGCUAGAGUGCAGGAGAGGUAAGUGGAAUUCCUAGUGUAGCGGUGAAAUGCGUAGAUAUUAGGAGGAACACCAGUGGCGAAGGCGGCUUACUGGACUGUAACUGACGUUGAGGCUCGAAAGCGUGGGGAGUAAACAGGAUUAGAUACCCGAGUAGUC
rnacentral:rRNA from 1 species